GACGAACGCUGGCGGCGUGCUUAACACAUGCAAGUCGAACGGAAAGGCCUUUUCGGAGGUACUCGAGUGGCGAACGGGUGAGUAACACGUGGGUGAUCUGCCCUGCACUCUGGGAUAAGCCUGGGAAACUGGGUCUAAUACCGGAUAGGACCGCACUUUAGUGUGUGUGGUGGAAAGUUGUUUCGGUGUAGGAUGAGCCCGCGGCCUAUCAGCUUGUUGGUGGGGUAAUGGCCUACCAAGGCGGCGACGGGUAGCCGGACUGAGAGGUUGGUCGGCCACAUUGGGACUGAGAUACGGCCCAGACUCCUACGGGAGGCAGCAGUGGGGAAUAUUGCACAAUGGGCGCAAGCCUGAUGCAGCGACGCCGCGUGGGGGAUGACGGCCUUCGGGUUGUAAACUCCUUUCGCCAGGGACGAAGCGUUUUGUGACGGUACCUGGAGAAGAAGCACCGGCUAACUACGU
rnacentral:rRNA from 1 species